rnacentral:rRNA from 1 species
UACGUAGGGGGCAAGCGUUGUCCGGAAUCAUUGGGCGUAAAGCGCGUGUAGGCGGCUCGAUAAGUCUGCUGUGAAAGUCCAGGGCUCAACCCUGGGAUGCCGGUGGAUACUGUCGAGCUUGAGUCCGGAAGAGGCGAGUGGAAUUCCUGGUGUAGCGGUGAAAUGCGCAGAUAUCAGGAGGAACACCUAUGGCGAAGGCAGCUCGCUGGGACGUGACUGACGCUGAGACGCGAAAGCGUGGGGAGCAAGCAGG